rnacentral:rRNA from 1 species
UACAGAGACUGCAAGCGUUAUUCGGAUUCACUGGGCGUAAAGGGUGCGCAGGCGGCCGUGUGUGUUAGGUGUGAAAGCCCGAGGCUUAACCUCGGAAUUGCGCCUAAAACUACACGGCUAGAGCAUUGGAGAGGGUAGCGGAAUUCAUGGUGUAGCAGUGAAAUGCGUAGAUAUCAUGAGGAACACCAGAGGCGAAGGCGGCUACCUGGACAAUUGCUGACGCUCAGGCACGAAAGCGUGGGGAGCAAAAGGG